rnacentral:rRNA from 1 species
GACGAACGCUGGCGGCGUGCCUAACACAUGCAAGUCGAGCGGGGGGAGUUCUUCGGAACGAACCUAGCGGCGGACGGGUGAGUAACACGUGGGUAACCUGCCUCAAAGUGGGGGAUAGCCUUCCGAAAGGGAGAUUAAUACCGCAUAACCCAUAGUUUCCGCAUGGAAGCUAUGGUAAAGAUUUAUCGCUUUGAGAUGGACCCGCGGCGCAUUAGCUAGUUGGUGAGGUAACGGCUCACCAAGGCCACGAUGCGUAGCCGACCUGAGAGGGUGAUCGGCCACAUUGGAACUGAGACACGGUCCAGACUCCUACGGGAGGCAGCAGUGGGGAAUAUUGCACAAUGGGCGAAAGCCUGAUGCAGCAACGCCGCGUGAGUGAUGAAGGUCUUCGGAUUGUAAAGCUCUGUCUUUUGGGACGAUAAUGACGGUACCAAAGGAGGAAGCCACGGCUAACUACGUG